UUUUUUUUUUUUUUUUCUUUUUUGGCACAUAAGUAAUCACUGUUUUGCACCUAGGGAAACACUUUAACUGUAAGAGGGAAAAUAAGGUCAUAUUUUAUUUGUGAAAGUCCUUUUCUAGCCUUGCGUGAGCCUUUCUAAAAAUUUUAUUUCACCAGCUCACUGAAGUUGAUUCAUAUAGCCUCCUAUUUGAACACCCCUGUCUCCCAUUCUUAGCUCAAGGAGAAAUGUUUCUCUUUGUUCAAGGCCUUGUUUGCCUGUUAACCUUCAGAAGCCACUCUGCUCCCAGAGUCCCUUUCUUAGAAAAAAGCCUGUCCGUUGCUCUGUAAGACUAGCCAAGCGCUACUUUCUCCUCCAUUGCGGAAGGAAACGACUGACCCAUUCAGCCUAGCACUAAAUCUAGCGCCUCUCCAGGCUCUCCCUCCCUCUCCUCGUCCCCACCGUCGGCCAGCUGCAGCACUGCGCACUGCAGGCCACUCCAGGCCCAGGGCAACGCGCAGCCGAUGUCCUCCCAACGGUCCAAGUCAAGGUCGUAGCCCACCACGUUGCGGGUAGGCACCUGGCGCGAGUCCCGCCACUUGAGGCCGCCCAGCAGCAACGCUGUCUCCUCGACCACAGCCAGCCCAUAGCAGAAGCGGUCGUAGGGUAGCGGCCGCAACCGAGUCCACUGGUCGGCGCCGGGAUCGUAGCGCUCGAUCUCAGAGAAGGGCUCGUAUCGCCCCAGAAAAGCAAACACAGCGCCGCGCAGCACUGCCAUGUGGUGCCCGAAACGUGCGGUCCCCAUGGGUGCCCUCUUACUCCAAGCCUGCUCCUCAGGGCCCAGGACGUAUAAGUCCCGGAGGCUGCUCGCUCCGCCCUCGCCUCUCCCUGCCUUGCCCCCCGAGAUGUACACAACACCGCGGUCCCCGACGGCCCCCGCGUGACCGUGCAGAGCCCGCGGUAGUGCCCCAGCUGCCGUCCAGCGGUCCCGACGCAGGUCGUACAUCUCCACUGAGGCCAGGGCCUCACCGCCCGCGCCCAGGCCCCCGACGGCCAGGGAGCCUCCCUCCCACCGCACCGCACCAGAAGUGGGCCCGCGCUUCCUGCAUGGCGGGCACCUCCAUCCAAGCGUGGAAGCGCGGGUCGUAACGGUGCACUUCGGCCGUGACUACCCGCGGGCUGUCGGCCAGGGUCGAGGUUACACUGCCGGAAGGGCUCUCCCCACCCAGAACAAACAGGAAGUUGCCCGCGGUGCACACGCUGUGCCCCAGCAGUGGUGUGGGUAGCUGCGUGAGGCUGCGCCAGCGGUGAUUGUACACAUCGAAGGCCACCACGUUCUGGGUGAGCUCCCACUCCUCCUCCUCCUCUUCCUCCAACUCUUCCUCUUCCUCUUCGGGCUCUGGGGCGGCGACCCGGCCCCUAGCUGCCCUCUGCGGGGCCACGACUUCCUCAAUCACCACCUCCCGUGCCCUGCGCCCCCCCACCAACAAGAUUCGAGUCUGGGGGCUCCGGAUGCUGGUCUGCUCGCCCUGCAUGAGUGGCUGGCGGGAGGGCGUCGUGUGGUAGUUGAGGGCCUGGAUGAUGAGGCCCUGACCCGGCUGGGCAGCAGGCGGAGCCAGGCCGCAGCGUCGCAGUCACGUGGCGGGAACCAGGCCAAAGCGGACAUGCUCCAGCAACUCUGUACAGUGUGCCAGGCGCUCAGUAGUGGGCUCCUGCCGCGCCAAGCUAACGCCAGGCCCAGCAGCCGGGCCUCGGGCACCCGCGCCACGUCGGGGGGCACCCAAUACAGCCCUUAGCGAUGUAGGGUUGAGCUCCAGCAGUCCCGCGGGGCCCGCGCCCGCCAGCAGUUCCCGCAAGUGGCGCACGAUGCAGCGCUCGGCCGCGUCCAGCGUGUGAGCCAGGCCAGCGCGACGCCACGUUGGCGGCGAAGCAGCAGUUCUCUGGAGCCAGCUGGCGCUCCAGGUAGCGCCCACAGAGCCCCAGGGCCUCGGUGACCUGCAGGUAGCUGGCGGCCUCCAGAGUGUCCUCUACAGUGUCCAUGGAAAGCGACAGCCAGGCAGUGUAGAUGAAGUCCAGCAGGCGCUGCAGGCCGGCUGCCGAUGGCACGUGCAGGUGGAUCACGCGCGCCCGAGAUUCCUGAGUGUGGCUCUUGAACAGGGCCCUGAAGUAGUCACUGGAGCACGCCAGGAGCGACCUGUGCGCCGGGAAUUCGCUGCCCUCGGUCUCCAGUGUCACGUCGCAUAGAAAGCCCUCGGCGCGCAGGGCCUGGUAGCCGGUGAGCAGCGCGCCGCCAUGAGCUUUGCAGUAAGACAGGAAGUAACUCAUUCUGCCCAGGGCUGGAAGCAGCCUGGUGGGACCAGAGGCCUGCUGGGCAGGGCCGGAGGCAUCCCAGGGCACGACGCUCCCGGGACCCCCGCGUAAGCCACAGAGCCCCUAGCAGGGGCCCAUUUCUGCCUGUUCAGUUUAAAGCCCAGGGCUCCUUCAUCCAGACCUCCAGAUCGCCCAGUGCCCCUCUCAGAGCAAAUCCAGUCUGGAAACGGUUUUCGUAGGUCCCUAGUAACGGAGGGCGCGGAAUUCUGAGGCUUCUGGGGAGUGUGGGGCUUGGUUUCCACGACUGUGGAGGCUUCCAGCGCGUUGCCCAAAGUCCCCUCCCCGGCCCAAUGUGGAGAGCCCACACCUGCACGCCAGGGGCGGCGGUGGCCGCACACCAUCACCUGGAAGGACCGAGCUGCGGUGGACUCCGGGGUGCUGGAUCUCCGACGGCGCAGACGCGGCGUCCCGGGAGUGCAGGGCGAGGACUCU
ensembl:lncRNA